ACAAACAUGUCUUGUGGGUGCUUUACUAUAUUAAGUUAUUUCAAAUUGAGUUGACUUUACUCUUGAACUGUUACUUUAUAAAACUUAUAAUUCGUGCCAUAUAUAUUAUAACUGACUAAAGAUAGGACGGCUAUGCACAAAAUGUCCGUCGACGACGGUGCAGAGCUGCUGCGGUCUCCGGAACCUGAGGGCAGCCAGCUUAAUGAUAGGAUUUUUCAAAGUGUUGCUGUUCCUUGCAGCAAUAAUAGGCUUAAUAUCAAUAAUGAGCGGCCAACACACGGGCGGAGCUAACGGAGAGAUAGCUCAGAAACCUACAGCCCAGCUGAUCCUAGCUCUACCUAGAGUAUAGGAUUCCUGUUCCUGGCUGUUGGGCUGAUCGCUGGAUUGUUUAAGAAACGGCGGAACUACGUGAUGAUCUACUGGGUGGCGAACUGGGUGUGGAUUGCGCUGAGUCUGAUAGGACUUUUUACACAGUCGCAGGGCGUGCUACGGUGGAUCAUAGUCUUCUGGUACGCUGUGGCUGACAUCUACUUUCAAAUCGUGAUACGGAGUUACUACUUGGAGAUGACGGGCGCCGUGGCGCACCUACCGCAGUAUAACGCGCCGGGGAUCGCUCGAUUUUAACUUAGCUGCAGGUUAUUACGCUGAUGCGAGACAGCGCUAUGCACGUAUAUAACGACGUCCCGCUCGCACAUCUAAACUACUACCUGGAGAUGACAGGGGCCGUGGCUGCGCCUGCGCAUCCACCGCAGUAUAACGCGCCGGAGAUCGCUCUAUAUUAAAGGCUUAGCUGCAAGUUAUCACCCUGAUGCGAGACAGCGCCAUGAACGUAUAUAACGACGUCCCGCUCGCACAUCGAAACUAUUACCUGGAGAAGAUAGGGGCCGUGGCUGCGCCUGCGCACCUACCGCAGCAUAACGCGCUGGGGAUCGCUCGAUAUUAGGGUGAAACACAUAAAGGCUCACUUCUGUGGACAAUACAAUAAAUGUUAACGUUUCUGGUACAGUCAAAGAAUUUAAUUUCAGUACCGAUUUCGUACAAUCGAGGACAUUGGCAGUGAACCACCUUAAGGGCAAAAAUCGUUUAAACGUCUUACAGACGGUCAGGUGAUCAUAAAAUGGGUGACCAAUAGCAGGGCUCUUAAAAAUGUGGGUGUUGAAAAAAAGGAUAGCUCAGAUAAAGUUUAUUGCAGUCCAUUGUCUUGUGACGGUCGGCAUUUGCAAACUAAGAUAAAGAAUCCAAAAUGCAUCCUAAUUGGUUAUCUAUGGGGAAG